GACGAACGCUGGCGGCGUGCUUAACACAUGCAAGUCGAACGGAAAGGCCCUGCUUUUGUGGGGUGCUCGAGUGGCGAACGGGUGAGUAACACGUGAGUAACCUGCCCUUGACUUUGGGAUAACUUCAGGAAACUGGGGCUAAUACCGGAUAGGAGCUCCUGCUGCAUGGUGGGGGUUGGAAAGUUUCGGCGGUUGGGGAUGGACUCGCGGCUUAUCAGCUUGUUGGUGGGGUAGUGGCUUACCAAGGCUUUGACGGGUAGCCGGCCUGAGAGGGUGACCGGCCACAUUGGGACUGAGAGACGGCCCAGACUCCUACGGGAGGCAGCAGUGGGGAAUAUUGCACAAUGGGCGGAAGCCUGAUGCAGCAACGCCGCGUGCGGGAUGACGGCCUUCGGGUUGUAAACCGCUUUCGCCGGUGACGAAGCGUGAGUGACGGUAAUGGGUAAAGAAGCACCGGCUAACUACGUG
rnacentral:rRNA from 1 species